AACUUUCAGCAACGGAUCUCUUGGCUCUCGCAUCGAUGAAGAACGCAGCGAAAUGCGAUAAGUAAUGUGAAUUGCAGAAUUCAGUGAAUCGUCGAAUCUUUGAACGCA
rnacentral:rRNA from 1 species